AUUUGUCAUGACUCAAAAGUCAGUGUAAGGCAGACAUAACUACUCGUCUGCAAUUUUCUGAUAAUGAUCAUGUAUAUGUGUCGGGAUAUGGAGCUGAGCCAGGAAUAUUCUAGUAGAUGGAGGGAAGGUUCUGGAAAUAGAACAGUUAAUUGGUAGGCCACGCCAGCUGGUGCAUAACAGAAUCACAUGUGCAGAAGCUUAUAAAUAGGGAAGAG
rnacentral:misc_RNA from 1 species